rnacentral:rRNA from 1 species
GUCCACGCCGUAAACGAUGUCGACUUGGAGGUUGUGCCCUUGAGGCGUGGCUUCCGGAGCUAACGCGUUAAGUCGACCGCCUGGGGAGUACGGCCGCAAGGUUAAAACUCAAAUGAAUUGACGGGGGCCCGCACAAGCGGUGGAGCAUGUGGUUUAAUUCGAUGCAACGCGAAGAACCUUACCUGGUCUUGACAUCCACAGAACUUUCCAGAGAUGGAUUGGUGCCUUCGGGAACUGUGAGACAGGUGCUGCAUGGCUGUCGUCAGCUCGUGUUGUGAAAUGUUGGGUUAAGUCCCGCAACGAGCGCAACCCUUAUCCUUUGUUGCCAGCGGUCCGGCCGGGAACUCAAAGGAGACUGCCAGUGAUAAACUGGAGGAAGGUGGGGAUGACGUCAAGUCAUCAUGGCCCUUACGACCAGGGCUACACACGUGCUACAAUGGCGCAUACAAAGAGAAGCGGCCUCGCGAGAGCAAGCGGACCUCAUAAAGUGCGUCGUAGUCCGGAUUGGAGUCUGCAACUCGACUCCAUGAAGUCGGAAUCGCUAGUAAUCGUGGAUCAGAAUGCCACGGUGAAUAUGUUCCCGGGCCUUGUACACACCGCCCGUCACACCAUGGGAGUGGGUUGCAAAAGAAGUAGGUAGCUUAACCUUCGGGAGGGCGCUUACCACUUUGUGAUUCAUGACUGG